rnacentral:rRNA from 1 species
GCCUUAGUACGGCGAGUGAAGCGGCAAAAGCUCAAAUUUGAAAUCUGGUACCUUUGGUGCCCGAGUUGUAAUUUGGAGAGUGCCACUUUGGGACUGUACUUUGCCUAUGUUCCUUGGAACAGGACGUCAUGGAGGGUGAGAAUCCCGUGUGGCGAGGGUGUCAGUUCUUUGUAAAGGGUGCUCGAAGAGUCGAGUUGUUUGGGAAUGCAGCUCUAAGUGGGUGGUAAAUUCCAUCUAAAGCUAAAUACAGGCGAGAGACCGAUAGCGAACAAGUACAGUGAUGGAAAGAUGAAAAGAACUUUGAAAAGAGAGUGAAAAAGUACGUGAAAUUGUUGAAAGGGAAGGGCAUUUGAUCAGACAUGGUGUUUUGCGCCCCUUGCCUCUCGUGGGCUUGGGACUCUCGCAGCUCACUGGGCCAGCAUCGGUUUUGGUGGCCGGAAAAAACCUAGGGAAUGUGGCUCUGCGCCUCGGUGUAGAGUGUUAUAGCCCUGGGGAAUACGGCCAGCCGGGACCGAGGACUGCGAUACUUGUUAUCUAGGAUGCUGGCAUAAUGGUUAUAUGCCGCCCGUCUUGA